rnacentral:lncRNA from 1 species
UUUUUUUUUCCUUUCUCCCUCUGUGUUCCCAGGGCAGGGUUGGCUUUCUAGGUUUGAUAAAGCAUUUCCUUCCAUUGUCAUUCUAUACGGCCUCUGGGCCCGUCUCUCAGUCCCUCCCCUUUCGCCGUCCCCUCGCUUUCUCUCUCUCUUCCUGAACUUUAGUGAAUCUUGAGAUAUAAAGAAAACAGCUGCCUCCCUUUAAGCACAUCUUGAACAAUGAGACCUCAUCUCCAAGGGCUUUAAUUCCUCUGGAUGCAAGGACAAAGCCAGGGUGAGUAGCCUGUUAGUAACUCUGCGGUCACCACAUCCACAAACGCAGCCGUUCCCGGCGGGUGCUCGUGUCCAGCCGGGUCCUGUUGCUGCUCUCAGGCUGUGGAGGUUUUGUGUAGCACAAGAAUAGAUGCUGUAAGCGUUAAAAAUCUCCCCAUCGGAUUCUGUCCCCGUUGGAGAAGGUUUUGCCACCUGGAUUUGGGUCACCCGCUGGCUCCCUUCCUUGUGAGACUGGGCAAAACCCGGCUCUCUGCAAGGUGGGAGGAAUCCUGAGCUCAAAGGCAAAGAAAAACAAAUAUGAUGCAAUCAGGCGUGAUCUGAGCUGGGCUGCGGGAGGGGGAUCUGUCUGCAGCUCUGGGGCUCUGCAGGCCAGGGGAGACACUAACAGAGGACCUUGGAAUGGCACCGGGUGGGAGACACUCUCAUAACCCAGGGGUGCGUGGCUUCGCUGUGCUGUGCGGACGCUGUGGACCUUCCUGUGGUGUCUGUGGUGUUUCUGCUCUCUUGCCUUCAAUAAGAAUUUUCCAGUCUGGUUUAAAUGGUGAAGUGAGAGAUGUGCUGGAGCACUGGGAAUUUCUGCUCAGAGCAGGGGAUCGGUGGUUUGCAGCCACUGUGCCCAUGCUGGGGACUGCAGGAAAUGGGCAGAGGUGCAGUGUGUGUUGUUGUAAAGUGUUAUCUGGAGUCUGGUUUUGCCCAAGUGAUCUGUUUAGAUUGUUUCAUGCACAAAAAAGCAGGAGGCAAAGUACAGGAGAUCUCUGCAGCAGUGUGGUGUCUGUUAAUAAGGGAAUUUGGGAUGAGUGAUGAAGCUGCUGCCUAACGUGCACUUUCCAAUAUGGGUCUCCAGUCUCACCCUCCCAGCAA